GACGAACGCUGGCGGCGUGCCUAACACAUGCAAGUCGAACGGGGAAUAGCAAUAUUCCUAGUGGCGAACGGGUGAGUAACGCGUAGACAACCUGCCUUCUAGACGGGGACAACGUUCCGAAAGGAGCGCUAAUACCGGAUGAGGUGCCUUGGGCGCAUGCCUGGGGUAAGAAAGGUGGCCUCUAUUUAUAAGCUACCGCUAGAAGAUGGGUCUGCGUCUGAUUAGCUAGUUGGCGGGGUAGGAGCCCACCAAGGCGACGAUCAGUAGCCGGUCUGAGAGGAUGAACGGCCACACUGGGACUGAGACACGGCCCAGACUCCUACGGGAGGCAGCAGUGGGGAAUCUUCCGCAAUGGACGAAAGUCUGACGGAGCAACGCCGCGUGAGAGAAGAAGGUUUUCGGAUUGUAAAUCCCUGUCUUUUGGGAAGAAUGGCUUUUAUGUGAAUAAUGUGAGAGCAUGACGGUACCAGAGGAGGAAGCCACGGCUAACUACGUGCCAGC
rnacentral:rRNA from 1 species